rnacentral:lncRNA from 1 species
AAAGAGUGGAAGUUGUGACUCUGCCUUCUCUAAAACAGGAUCCGGAUUCAGAGGCGAAUCAUCUCCUUUAUACAUACAGGACAGAGAGAGAUAUGGCCCCAACCUGACCCUGAGCAGCAUGAAUGUGUGCUAAAAAUAGCAGCUAUACAAUGCGGCAGGCGGCCCGGCGAGACUCUGCGUUUAAAUGGUUUUCUUACCAGCGGUUUCAGAGCACUUUCCUCUCAUGAAUUAACCCUCAGAGGAGCCCUGGAAGGUGACUGUCUUAU